GUCCAGGUGUGUCCAGGUGUGUCGUGGUGUGUCCAGGUGUGUCGUGGUGUGUCCAGGUGUGUCGUGGUGUGUCGUGGUGUGUCCAGGUGUGUCGUGGUGUGUCGUGGUGUGUCCAGGUGUGUCCAGGUGUGUCGUGGUCUGUUCAGGUGUGUCGUGGUGUAUCGUGGUGUGUCCAGGUGUGUCCAGGUUUGUCGUGGUCUGUCCAGGUGUGUCCAGGUGUGUCGUGGUGUGUCCAGGUGUUUCGUAGUGUGUCCAGGUGUGUCGUGGUG